rnacentral:rRNA from 1 species
AAUGGACGGAAGUCUGAACCAGCCAUCCCGCGUGCAGGAAGAAGGAUCUUUGGUCUGUAAACUGCUUUUCUCAGGGAAGAGAGAUAGAGAUUAAUCUUUAGAGGACGGUACUUGAGGAAUAAGCACCGGCUAACUCCGUGCCAGCAGCCGCGGUAAUACGGAGGGUGCAAGCGUUAUCCGGAUUUACUGGGUUUAAAGGGUCCGUAGGUGGUUUGAUAAGUCAGGGGUGAAAUUACCGAGCUUAACUUGGGAGCUGCCAUUGAUACUGUUAGACUUGAGUGCAGAUGAGGUUGGCGGAAUGGGGCAUGUAGCGGUGAAAUGCUUAGAUAUGCCUCGGAACACCGAAUGCGAAGGCAGCUGGCUAAACUGCAACUGACACUAAUGGACGGAAGCGUGGGUAGCGAA